rnacentral:lncRNA from 1 species
AGGAUUUAAGGGUGGGGUAAGAAGACUUCUUUUUAUAGUUUAUUGUCUUGGAGUUAAGGUCUGUUCGGGGGGAGAGAGAGGUCUCAAUGCUGUUAUGAGCUGUUCCUAUGCUAAUUUUUGAGUUGUUCUCUUGUGUCGAACCUUUCCUUGGUUUCAAAAAGUGACGUGGAAUUGGGUGAGAGGGAGAGAGUGAGGGGAUGGAUUGGCACGAUGACUUAGGACUUUUCUUUUAGUUCCUUUGAUCUGUCUCGAGUGAGGGAAGAUAUUGUGGGAGUUUUUGAGUUUUCGUUAGCUGUUUUUGUGUUGUUCUUGUGUCGAACCUUGUUUGGUUUUUAAGUGGUGUGGAAGUUCUUUGUUUGAAAUGCUGAGUUAAUUUAGGAUGAGAGGGGGAAAGUGAGGGAUUGGAUUGGCAUGCCGAUUUUGGACUUUUUUUCUUGGUUCGUCUGAUCUGACUUGGGGGAGGGAAGGGUUCGUGAGAGUCUUUCAUGAGGUUUCUGAGCUUAGACCUCCCAAGGCAAUUGAGGUAUGUUGGAUAGGAUGUUCCAGUUGCAAGGAAAUUGCUUUCUUAUUUAAAGUCUAUGGGUUCAUCCAAUGUUAUAAAAAAUAAAAUAAAAUAAAAUAAAAAGAAAAAAAGGAGUUUUCAACCAAAAUUAAGUUUUUAAAUACUUCAUGUCUAAAUAUUUUUUUGAUUAAUUUGAUAGUUUGGGUUCAUAAUUAUAAUUUAGGGAAUAAAAAUAGUAUUGCAUGUCAAAUAAUAUAUUGAAAUUAUAAUUCUUUCUUUUUUCAAUUUGUUUUGUAGAUAUAACUUUUAAUUAUUUGAUUUUUGUAUUUAACUUUAUGUGGUUUGUGGAUGCUUAUAUUUAGUUUUGAUUAAUAAAUAGAAAUUGUCAUAUCGUUAGUUGUUGAAUCUGAUAAUUUGCUAUAUACGAUCAUAUUUUAUUUAAUUCUAAUAUCUUAUUUUAUACUAAUGAGUAGUAAUUUUGCAUGAAUGUUUGCUUGGUGACACAUAUUGUAAAAUAUGUAUUUGAUAAAUUUUUACUAAUGAUAUCAUGCGCUGUUUUCAAAAUAUGAAAAAAGAUUGUGAACAAUUAUAGUCAUCUUAGAUAUUUUUACUUUAAAAUAUUAAAUGAAUGUAUAGAAUUUACAUUUUCUUUAAUUUAUUAUUAAAAUUUCUGGUUUAUGAAUUUUAAUAUAUUUAUAUUUUUUAAUUAUUAUUAUAAUCAUUUUAAUUAUUACACCGCUCAAAAAAAACUUCUAAAUCCACCCCUGACCUUUUGACUAGGACUUUUCCUCUGCUUGUUCUAACUUCAUGCUGCAAGUUCUUUUUGCUGCCUUCUUUUGAGCUUUUCUUGGCCUUUUGGUGGAUCUCUUGAGUUUUAAUUUCAAGUAGGUUCGUUAUGACCUUUUGGUGGAUUUUCAAACAAAGCUUAACGUUUGGGGAGAGGAUCGUGGACCACUGGCUGGAGCAUCCAUGGGGGAGGACGUCGGUUGCAAAAAAUGUUGUUUACAUAAUAUAUUGUUUAUUACUUAUUAUUAUCUAAAUAUAUUAUUUUAUAAAAUAUAAUUUUUUUAUAGUUAAUAUAAUUGACCUAAUUAUAUAUAGAAGAUUAAUCUAUUAAUAUUAUUAUAUAUUUCGUAAACACAUAUAUAUAGUUUUCUUUGAUGAAAUACAUAUAUAGUAAUUUCAAUAUUAUUCUUAUAUAUAAACUAUUAAUUUGAUCUUUUAUGAUCAACAGGAAUCCAUUUAUAUUUGCUUCUUGACUAAAAGAAUCCAAUUAUUGGGGUGGGGAGGGAGGAAAAAGCUAAAAUGGGUUUGAGUCAGAUUGGGAGGCAAAGAAAGCUAUAUGGCCAGAAUGAGAGGACCAUUGUAAUUAAAUAAAAACUGGAAAGCAAAAAUGUAUUGGAACUGUCAUUUUUCUUGUUGAGUAGUUUUUGUUACCUGUGUUUCUGGGAACUGUGUGUAAUUAAAUGUACUAGAACACAGGGAUGGUUGAGACCAGUGCGGAGGCUUCUGCUGCUAGCCGAAGGAUGGGUGUUGGCACUGUAUAGC